CUUGAACCCAGAAGGUGGAGGUUGCAGUCAGCUGAGAUCGUGCCAUUGCAUUCCAGCCUGGGUGACAAGAGGGAAACUCCGUCUCAAAAAAUAAAAAGUAAAAUAAAAUAAAAAUAAAAUGGCAUGGGCCAUUUUAUUUAAUACAAUAUCAAAGUAUUCCCAGAUUCCCUUAACUGUACUUCAUGGAAUUACUCCCUCUGAAUUUUCUAAACCAGUGGUGAGCAAUCUUUUCUUUUUCCCUUGGGGACUACUAGCUUACAGGACAAUCAUUUAACAGGAGAUCCUAAGAAUACAGGUCAUACUAAUUCCAUUCAUUUUAUAAGCAUCUGAUAAAGCCAGGAUUACUGAGCAUUUAUGGCUACCAUGCACCGUGUGAAGCAAUUUAUAUACAUUAUUUCUACCAGUCUUUACAACAAUUCUCUGAGAUAUAUUCAAUUACCAACAUCCAUUUAAACAUGAGGAGACUGAGGCACUACAGCGUAAGUAACCUGCCCAAAGCUAGCGAGUGCCAAGAGCGGGUCAGACCCUGGGCUGCCUGGCCCCAAAGCCUGGGCUGUCCUCACUGAUGACUGCCUUCUCUUUCACCAACGGUGAAGCCCACAGUAGGCCCUGGAGUCACGUGGAUGACGAGUCACAUGGAUGCAUAAGAUAAUAUUUCUGCUCCACCACCACCUGGGGCUUAUAUUCCAAUAAAAACAGGUUAAAACUUAUUACAGAGCUAAGAACAGAGUUAUAGUCCAGCAUGGAGGAUGCAGAUAUGAACUAGCCUAGAAGACUGAAGAAAUAUUCCCCAGAGGAGUGACCUUCAAGCCGUGAACAUGAUAAGAGAGUAUUCAAAGCAGAACAGGCGCCAUCCUAAAGCACACUGUUAGAAAAGGGCACGUGCUAGGAAAGGCAAGAAGCUUGACCUGACUGUAAUAGCGGCAAUAGAGGCAGGAAGAGGAAAGGAAGGAAGAGGAGGAGAGUGACAGGAAAAGGUUAGGUUAGGCCCUAGUGGCAAUGCUUAAGAGUCUAAAUAUUAUUUUUCAGGUAAGGACACACAGUGUUUCUGAGCAAAAGCAUUGCAUUAUGAAGCCUGACUUUGGGGGGUUUUUAAAGGAAUACUAACCACGUGGAAGUGUGGUAGAGAGAAAGGCCAGAAGCAGAGACACCUGUUUGGAGUCCAGGACAACAGUGAAAGCAGGUGGAAAGGAAACACCAGACAAGCCUGGGAAACUGGAUGGAUCAUGACAGAGAUCAAGAAUACAAGACAGAAAGGUUUUGAAGUAUCUACAGGAUUCCAGAUUGACAUAUGUGGAAAGCUGUUGGAAGUUUGGGACUGGAGCACAAGAGAAAGGUGGAGACU
rnacentral:lncRNA from 1 species